AGACACACAAACGAACUCUUGUCUGAAGAUUGCAGUCUGAGUACUUGACUAAAUCAGUUUAAAACUUUCAACAACGGAUCUCUUGGUUCCGGCAUCGAUGAAGAACGCAGCGAAAUGCGAUAAGUAAUGUGAAUUGCAGAAUUCAGUGAAUCAUCGAGUCUUUGAACGCACAUUGCGCCCCCUGGUAUUCCGGGGGGCAUGCCUGUCCGAGCGUCAUUGCUGCCCUCAAGCACGGCUUGUGUGUUGGGCUCUCGCCCCCCGCUUCCGGGGGCGGGCCCGAAAGGCAGCGGCGGCACCGCGUCCGGUCCUCGAGCGUAUGGGGCUUCGUCACCCGCUCUGUAGGCCCGGCCGGCGCCCGCGGGCGAACACCAUCAAUCUUAACCAGGUUGACCUCGGAUCAGGUAGGGAUACCCGCUGAACUUAGC
rnacentral:rRNA from 1 species